rnacentral:lncRNA from 1 species
CUCCGUGUAUCGUCUCACCUCUAUGAACCAUCAAACAAACUGUGAUUUCCACCAAUCUGUAAUUUAACUUUUACUGUUUUCACUUUUAACUUCUUACUGGUUUUUGCUUGUUUCGUUGCGACUUCCAGUAUCAAGAUAUGUGGCUUUGUGAAGUUUGCAGGUUCUUCUCAUGCUUAAGAGAAUUUUCUCCAGGUACUCUGGGUCUUUUAUAGCUCACGUGUGUGUGUGUGUGUGUGUGUGUGUGUGUCCUUGGUGACGACAGACGUGCAGCAGGUUGGGGUUGGGGUUGGGCUGCUGUGUGACGCUGUGUGUUUAGUGGAGUUACAGUAUGUAGAGCUCUGUUCUCACUCACUCUCUCACUCAUUCAUUCAUUCAUUCACUCUGCCAGAGGGAGCCAAGCAUCUACUGGGAGCUCGGAACAUUGUGUCCAGCAGUAGAUAACAGUGACUCUGACUCCUACCCUGAUAAUUACAUCUGCAUUUGUCGAGGGAACCAAAAAAGAGAAGAGCAUACUUGUGGCAACUCAAUAAAGCAAAAAAGAAAAUGACAAUCGGCCGCAACUCCAGGAAGAGCUCGGUACGAAGUUCCAUCCGGGCUCCAAAAUUUCUGGACAAAUCUAGCGGCUUCUACGGUCGCCUGGAUGAGCCGGAGUGUGCCAGGGAGGACGGGCGAAAGAAUGGAGGAGAAAGUGUGGACAACAAGGAGAACGUAACCAACGCAUCUUCAACUGUGGCCAACAAUUCCAAGGCUGAGGAACGAGAAGAAGUUGAGAUGUUUGUGUUCAAUGAAGGCAUGAUGGAAGAUGACGGCGAGACUCUCCUGCACAGGAAGCCUAGCCGGCUCAGCAGCAGGUGGAGGAGAAGCUCCAGGAGGAAGCAGAAGGAGGAAGAGGAUGGUGUGAUGGUGAAGAUUCAGGUGGAGACUGUGAAGAGUUUGGGGGACGAAUGUGAGAAGGUACAGCAAGUAGGAAAGGAGCCUCAGGUUGUCCACUUUCAUGUUCGGGAGGAGGAAGACGACCAAGUUCUGAUCAGAGACAAGAAGCGAGUACGAGAUGAGGAAGGAGAGGAGGAGAGGAGGGCCACGAGGGAGCAGGAGGAGGGCAUGAAGAUGGCAAAGAGGAAGAAUUACAAAAAGGCGUUUCGUCGUGGCUGGGAGGCCUUCAUCACUAACCUCUACAGUGUCACACUCACACCUUUCACCUCCUCCACACCAUCCUCAUCAUCACCAUCAUCGCCAUCGUCCAAGAAGAAGCUGGAGCACAGCGCGGUGCUGGCUGAGUUUCGGUAGAAUUGGAAGAAGACAUGGACAAUAAAAUUAAACAGUUUUAUUAUUUAAACA